rnacentral:misc_RNA from 1 species
AUAAGUGGAAUGAAAUUGAAGCUGGAUUACCUCAGUGAGGAAAUUCUGGGAUACUAUGCACCAUCAAUACCGAGCGAGUGUUCGGGGAAAUACAAGAGGAUGUGGCAUUUUUCUUGGCUUGAAUUAAUCACCCUCUGCAUAUGUUUUACAUUGGUGCAGUUAAUUGUUUUGUCAGGAAGCUGUUAUCAAAAAGGACUUUUUAUGAACUUGGCUAUGCAGUGAAGUCACUUCUGAGAGGCUAUGCUGAACAGAAUAAUUCUAAUGUCAAA